GACGUAGGGCGCGAGCGUUGUCCGGAUUUAUUGGGCGUAAAGAGCUCGUAGGCGGCUUGUCGCGUCGUCUGUGAAAUCCCGCGGCUCAACCGCGGGUCUGCAGUCGAUACGGGCAGGCUAGAGUUCGGUAGGGGAGACUGGAAUUCCUGGUGUAGCGGUGAAAUGCGCAGAUAUCAGGAGGAACACCGGUGGCGAAGGCGGGUCUCUGGGCCGAUACUGACGCUGAGGAGCGAAAGCGUGGGAGCGAACAGG
rnacentral:rRNA from 1 species